GAUGAACGCUGGCGGCGUGCCUAAUACAUGCAAGUCGAGCGAACAGACGAGGAGCUUUCUCCUCUUACGUUAGCGGCGGACGGGUAAGUAACACGUGGAUAACCUACCUAUAAGACUGGGAUAACUUCGGGAAACCGGAGCUCAUACCGGAUAAUAUAUUGAACCGCAUGGUUCAAUAGUGAAAGACGGUUUUGCUGUCACUUAUAGAUGUAUCCGCGCCGCAUUAGCUAGUUGGUAAGGUAACGGCUUACCAAGGCGACGAUGCGUAGCCGACCUGAGAGGGUGAUCGGCCACACUGGAACUGAGACACGGUCCAGACUCCUACGGGAGGCAGCAGUAGGGAAUCUUCCGCAAUGGGCGAAAGCCUGACGGAGCAACGCCGCGUGAGUGAUGAAGGUCUUCGGAUCGUAAAACUCUGUUAUUAGGGAAGAACAAAUGUGUAAGUAACUAUGCACGUCUUGACGGUACCUAAUCAGAAAGCCACGGCUAACUACGUG
rnacentral:rRNA from 1 species